CCUUAAUAAAAAAAAUGUUGUGAUUCGAAAAGAGAUUAUCUUGAUUCAUGAAAUUUUUCUUGUUGAUGGUGGGAAGAUAGAAAUGUUGGUUUGGUUGCAAGUUCAUUGUAAUUUUUAUCUUUACUUUCUUAUAAUUGAUAUCAUGAAGUCUAGCGAAGUAUCCUUGUGAAUUCACAAAUUUUGGUGUGCAAUGAGAUGGCUAUAAUGUAAAUAGACUUCUUGCACUUUUUAAUCAACAAACAAUGGUAAAGCCCUAUUAGUUAAUGGUAGAAGAUUAACUAUGAGUAAGAAUAAAUGUCUCUUCACUAUACAUAGUAUUUUCAUAUAACUAUUAAAAAUGUGAAUAUUACAAGUUUACAAUUGGGCUUUUGUUUAUUUUCAAUUUUCUUCUUUUUUUCCCCUCUGAAAGGAAGAAGGAAAUUAACUAGGUCAACUGGAAAACUAGAGAAGAAAUACCAUAACUCUUGAUAGACGUUCCCGACAUUUUAUCUAUUGACAAGUUCAUCUGUCGAUAAUUAUUGAGGCUAACUGUCGGGAACGACAGUUCAGUCCUUACCUGAGCUCAGUGUGUUUCACAUUAAUUUCGAUCUUACAUAAGUAAAUUCGUAAAAGGUGAUUUGAAGUAAUAUGUGUGAUAUUCGUUGUAUGCAUUUGGUGAAAAUCUUGAUUGACACUUGACAUAUAUUUCGUUUCAAUGUGUAUGUUACGUGUGUCAUAACCUUGCUUUCACUUGCAAUCCACUUGUUGUGUGUGGUACUCGUUGUAUUCGGGUGGAACUCUUGAUAGACACUUCAUAGCAUACUUAUGGUUUUUGGUCUAUAUGCAGCUAGAAAUAUUAUAUUAUCAUUUGAUGCAUCCAUUUCUUGUUUUGUCUUUGCAUACAUGGAUUUCGAGCUUCUUGCUCAGGAGACAGUGACGACAAGGAAGCUUGUGUUGGUUUGGGGGACGGUGACGACAAGAAAGUUCCCUACGCUGGUAUGGGAAACGUUGAGCAAGACUUAAUUGCUUCUGCUAGCGGCAUGGCAGGGGAGGACGCGGUGCGAGUGAAAUGCCGAUGGAGGCCACCACAGCCGUGCCCGUGGAUACGGCACCUAUCUCAAAGAUGAUGUGAUCUGCACGCCUGCGACAUCCUGCACCGUUUACUAGGACUCCGUACAUGAGGGAGAUUGCAAAGAAAGUGAAAAAAAUAAAAUCGUACUCAUGACCUGAACAAGUAUCAAAGUGUUGGUCGACAAGUUCUUGUUGUAAUGGAAGGUGGAUCCAAUCGAUGUCCAUGUCAAAGAAAGAGCGACGUUGACAAUGUUUUACUUCGGGUGACUGCGGAGAAUGCACGGAGGAACAUUUUGUUUUAUAUUAUUGUAUAUUUAUUUUUUGGGAAAUGUUGAUAUGUUCAAGUGGUAUUCACUGUCAAAGAAACUGUGUGAAUUUAGUACGGAAAAUGUUGGUAUGGAAACUGUUUUUGGCACA